rnacentral:siRNA from 1 species
GCAUCCGGUUUCACUCACGACCUU